rnacentral:rRNA from 1 species
UACGAAGGGGGCUAGCGUUGCUCGGAAUUACUGGGCGUAAAGCGCACGUAGGCGGAUUGUUAAGUCGGGGGUGAAAUCCUGGAGCUCAACUCCAGAACUGCCUUCGAUACUGGCGAUCUCGAGUUCGGGAGAGGUGAGUGGAACUGCGAGUGUAGAGGUGAAAUUCGUAGAUAUUCGCAAGAACACCAGUGGCGAAGGCGGCGACCUGGGUAGAUACUGACGCUGAGGUGCGAAAGCGUGGGGAGCAAACAGG